rnacentral:misc_RNA from 1 species
CAACCCUCAAGCAACCCCCUUAGGGGGGGCGCUUGGUGUUGGGGACCGGCCCGCCCCCCGCGGCGCGCCGCCCCCGAAAUGCAGUGGCGACCUCGCCGCAGCCUCCCCUGCGUAGUAGCACAACCUCGCACCGGAGCGCGGAGACGGUCACGCCGUAAAACGCCCAACUUUCUUAGAG